rnacentral:tRNA from 1 species
GGGCUUAUAGCGCAGUGGUAGCGCGCACGCUUUGCAUUAUAUAAUACUUGCUGUGUGAGGUCCGGGGUUCAAUCCCCCGUGAGUCCA